AAAAGCUACUAAGGGCAUACGGUGGAUGCCUUGGCACAGGCAGGCGAUGAAGGACGUAGUAAGUUGCGAUAAGCUUCGGUGAGGUACAAACAACCUUUGACCCGGAGAUUUCCGAAUGGGGAAACCCACUCAGGCUAAUCCCUGAGUAUCCCUUUACUGAACACAUAGGUUUAGGGAAGCAAACCCGGAGAACUGAAACAUCUAAGUAUCCGGAGGAAGAGAAAGAGAAUUCGAUUCCCCCAGUAGUGGCGAGCGAAAAGGGAACAGUCCAAACCGAGCGGCGUGUAAGCAGCGCGUGCGUUGCGCCGUCGGUGUUGCGGGAAGUAUUCGGAGGAGCGCGUAUCUCCUCGGAUCAAAAGGCCAGUUAGCAGAAUGUUCUGGAAAGAACAGCCAAAGAGGGUGAUAGGCCCGUACGCGAAAACUGACUCUAGAUCUGGAGUACUCUCCCAAGUAGUGCCGGACACGUGAAAUCUGGUAUGAAUCUGGGCAGACCACUGCCUAAGACUAAAUACUCGCCUGUGACCGAUAGUGAACUAGUACCGUGAGGGAAAGGUGAAAAGUACCGCUGGCGCGGAGUGAAAUAGUACCUGAAACCGUAUGCUUACAAGCAGUCGGAGCCCCCUUGAGGGGUGACGGCGUGCCUUUCGUAUAAUGAGCCGGGGAGUUACUCGUACGUAGCAAGGUUAAGGCCUAAAGGGCCGGAGCCGAAGGGAAACCGAGUCUGAAUAGGGCGAAUAGUUGCGUGCGGUAGACCCGAAGCCAGGUGAUCUACCCAUGGUCAGGAUGAAGCUUGGGUAAAACCAAGUGGAGGUCCGAACCCACUAAUGAUGAAAAAUUAGGGGAUGAACUGUGGGUAGGGGUGAAAGGCCAAACAAACCUGGAAAUAGCUGGUUCUCUUCGAAAUAGCUUUAGGGCUAGCGUCGUGCAAAAAUGUACUGGAGGUAGAGCACUGGAUGGGUGAGGGGGCCAACAAACCUACUGACCCCAACCAAACUCCGAAUGCCAGUUACAUGUUCCACGGCAGUCAGGCUACGAGGGAUAAGCUCCGUAGCCGAGAGGGAAACAACCCAGACCACCAGCUAAGGCCCCUAAGAGUACGCUGAGUGCAUUUAAGGAAGUGAGAGCGCUCAGACAACUGGGAUGUUGGCUUAGAAGCAGCCAUUCAUUUAAAGAGUGCGUAAUAGCUCACCAGUCAAGCUUUCAUGCGCCGAUAAUAAUCGGGGCUAAGCGUACCGCCGAAGCUGUGGACUCUGACCUUUGGUCAGAGUGGUAGAAGAGCGUUCCAUUCGCGCUGAAGGUGUUCUGUAAGGAAUGCUGGAGCGUAUGGAAGUGAUCAUCCCGGCAUCAGUAGCGACAAUGAGGGUGAGAAACCUUCACACCGAUAGCCUAAGGUUUCCUGGGCAAGGCUGAUCCGCCCAGGGUUAGUCGGAUCCUAAGCCGAGGCCGAAAGGCGUAGGCGAUGGGAAGCAGGUUAAUAUUCCUGCACCACCGGACAGGUGUUUGAGCGAUGGAGUGACGCAGAAGGUAGGGUCAUCCGGGUGAUGGAAAUCCCGGUUCAAGCUCGUAGGGAGAAGAGACAGGCAAAUCCGUUUCUUUGUUAAUCCUGAGGAGUGAUGACGAGAGCCGUAGGCUCAUAAAGUGACCGGUUCCAUGCUGCCAAGAAAAACUUCUAAGCGAAUCUGUCAGGUGUCCGUACCCCAAACCGACACAGGUAGGCAAGGAGAGAAUCCUAAGGUGUUCGAGAUAACUAUGGUUAAGGAACUCGGCAAAAUUAUCCCGUAACUUCGGAAGAAGGGAUGCCAGAUCUGGUGAAGACGCUUGCCGUCUUAGCUGGAACUGGCCGCAGUGAAAUGGCCUGGGCGACUGUUUACUAAAAACACAGGUCUCUGCUAAGUCGCAAGACGAUGUAUAGGGACUGACACCUGCCCGGUGCUGGAGCGUUAAGGGGAAGGGUUAGCCUUCAAUAUGAUGGCGAAGCUUUGAACUGAAGCCCCAGUAAACGGCGGCCGUAACUAUAACGGUCCUAAGGUAGCGAAAUUCCUUGUCGGGUAAGUUCCGACCCGCACGAAUGGUG
rnacentral:rRNA from 1 species